rnacentral:rRNA from 1 species
AGCGCAGGAAGUCGACGGAACCCUUCGGGGGGAAGUCGACGGAAUGAGCGGCGGACGGGUGAGUAACACGUAAAGAACCUGCCCUCAGGUCUGGGAUAACCACGAGAAAUCGGGGCUAAUACCGGAUGGGUCAUCGGACCGCAUGGUCCGAGGAUGAAAGGCGCUCCGGCGUCGCCUGGGGAUGGCUUUGCGGUGCAUUAGCUAGUUGGUGGGGUAAUGGCCCACCAAGGCGACGAUGCAUAGCCGACCUGAGAGGGUGAUCGGCCACACUGGGACUGAGACACGGCCCAGACUCCUACGGGAGGCAGCAGUAGGGAAUCUUCCACAAUGGACGAAAGUCUGAUGGAGCAACGCCGCGUGAACGAUGAAGGCCUUCGGGUCGUAAAGUUCUGUUGUAAGGGAAGAACAAGUGCCGCAGGCAAUGGCGGCACCUUGACGGUACCUUGCGAGAAAGCCACGGCUAACUACGUGCCAGCAGCCGCGGUAAUACGUAGGUGGCAAGCGUUGUCCGGAAUUAUUGGGCGUAAAGCGCGCGCAGGCGGCCUCUUAAGUCUGAUGUGAAAGCCCCCGGCUCAACCGGGGAGGGCCAUUGGAAACUGGGAGGCUUGAGUAUAGGAGAGAAGAGUGGAAUUCCACGUGU